GUCCACGCCGUAAACGAUGGAUACUAGCUGUUGGGCGCAAGUUCAGUGGCUAAGCGAAAGUGAUAAGUAUCCCACCUGGGGAGUACGUUCGCAAGAAUGAAACUCAAAGGAAUUGACGGGGCCCGCACAAGCGGUGGAGCAUGUGGUUUAAUUCGAUGAUACGCGAGGAACCUUACCAAGGCUUAAAUGUAGAUUGACCAGUUUGGAAACAGACUUUUCGCAAGACAAUUUACAAGGUGCUGCAUGGUUGUCGU
rnacentral:rRNA from 1 species